rnacentral:rRNA from 1 species
AAGGUGUGGGGGAAUUCCACGUUUUCCGCGCCGUAGCUAACGCAUUAAGUCCCCCGCCNGGAGAGUGCCGCCGCAAGGCUAAAACUCAAAGGAAUUGACGGGGGCCCGCACAAGCGGCGGAGCAUGCGGAUUAAUUCGAUGCAACGCGAAGAACCUUACCAAGGCUUGACAUGAACCGGAAAGACCUGGAAACAGGUGCCCCGCUUGCGGUCGGUUUACAGGUGGUGCAUGGUUGUCGUCAGCUCGUGUCGUGAGAUGUUGGGUUAAGUCCCGCAACGAGCGCAACCCUCGUUCUAUGUUGCCAGCACGUGAUGGUGGGGACUCAUAGGAGACUGCCGGGGUCAACUCGGA